GCCUUCGUUUUGUAAUGGUCAGCACACUGAGCCGGUAUUUCAGAGGUCCGCGGUUCGAUUCCCGGCGAAGGAA
rnacentral:tRNA from 1 species